UCCAAGUUUCUGAUUGCCUCUUUGGAAUACAUAUUUGAUUUCUCUAAGGGUUUAAAAAUGAUGGUGUAAUUACAAGAUCUCUGCCUUCAUUUUGACAGACUGUUAGAUCCUUAAGAGGUAAUAGCUUAGCUACAUUAAAUAUAAAUCAUUUAGGGAUGUUGCAGUAAACUCAAACAAUAUGAGUGUCAGAGCUGCUUUAAUUACAAUUAUUUGUACAGGUUGUUUUAUAUAUGUAGAUAAUAUGCCUUUUAGCAAAUUAUUGUCAUUUUUAUUCAACCACCCAAAUGUAUUAUGGGUGGGUAGGAUGGUUUUUGUAUCUCAUUAACGAGUC